AAAGCGGAAUUCCUAGUGUAGCGGUGAAAUGCGUAGAUAUUAGGAGGAACACCAGCGGCGAAGGCGGCUUUCUGGACUGUAACUGACACUGAGGCACGAAAGCGUGGGUAGCAAACAGGAUUAGAUACCCUGGUAGUCCACGCCGUAAACGAUGAGCACUAGGUGUCGGGGUCGCAAGACUUCGGUGCCGCAGUUAACGCAUUAAGUGCUCCGCCUGGGGAGUACGCACGCAAGUGUAAAACUCAAAGGAAUUGACGGGGACCCGCACAAGCAGCGGAGCAUGUGGUUUAAUUCGAAGCAACGCGAAGAACCUUACCAGGGCUUGACAUCCUGCUGACAGGACCUUAACCGGUCCCUUCUUCGGACAGCAGAGACAGGUGGUGCAUGGUUGUCGUCAGCUCGUGUCGUGAGAUGUUGGGUUAAGUCCCGCAACGAGCGCAACCCUUGUCGCUAGUUACUAACAUUCAGUUGAGGACUCUAGCGAGACUGCCGAGGUCAACUCGGAGGAAGGUGGGGAUGACGUCAAAUCAUCAUGCCCCUUAUGUUCUGGGCUACACACGUGCUACAAUGGUCGGUACAAUGAGAGGCAAUACUGUGAAGUGGAGCAAAUCACCAAAACCGAUCCCAGUUCGGAUUGUAGGCUGCAACUCGCCUACAUGAAGUUGGAGUUGCUAGUAAUCGCAGAUCAGAAUGCUGCGGUGAAUGCGUUCCCGGGUCUUGUACACACCGCCCGUCACACCAUGGAAGUUGGGGGUGCCCAAAGUCGGUUAAUUAAUCUAUCGCCUAAGGCAAAACCAAUGACUGGGGUGAAGUCGUAACAAGGUAGCCGUUCGAGAACGAGCGGCUGGAUCA
rnacentral:rRNA from 1 species